GAUCCUGGCUCAGGAUGAACGCUGGCGGCGUGCCUAACACAUGCAAGUUGAGCGAUUUACUUCGGUAAAGAGCGGCGGACGGGUGAGUAACGCGUGGGUAACCUACCCUGUACACACGGAUAACAUACCGAAAGGUAUGCUAAUACGGGAUAAUAUAUUUGAGAGGCAUCUCUUGAAUAUCAAAGGUGAGCCAGUACAGGAUGGACCCGCGUCUGAUUAGCUAGUUGGUAAGGUAACGGCUUACCAAGGCAACGAUCAGUAGCCGACCUGAGAGGGUGAUCGGCCACAUUGGAACUGAGACACGGUCCAAACUCCUACGGGAGGCAGCAGUGGGGAAUAUUGCACAAUGGGCGAAAGCCUGAUGCAGCAACGCCGCGUGAGUGAUGAAGGCCUUCGGGUCGUAAAACUCUGUCCUCAAGGAAGAUAAUGACGGUACUUGAGGAGGAAGCCCCGGCUAACUACGUGCCAGCAGCCGCGGUAAUACGUAGGGGGCUAGCGUUAUCCGGAUUUACUGGGCGUAAAGGGUGCGUAGG
rnacentral:rRNA from 1 species